GGGUGGUCUUCAAGUACAGCCUGCAGCGCGGAGGCUAUAGGGCCGUGAGCGGCGGGGCCCCGAGUUACGGCAUGAGGAAAGAGCCGAGCGGCCGGUCCUGGGGAUCUAAAACCAGCCCGGACAGGGGGCCCCCGGGGCCACAGGAGCAGCUGCCAGGCCGGAAAGAAGGAGCGGGGAGGAGUAUCACUGCCGGGGAUAGAGGCACGAGGAGCCGGGCUGCAGAGAGCGCGGAGCGGGGCAGGAGGCGCGGAGCGAGAGCAACCUGUCAGCAUCCAGACACGCAGAGCGCGGGGGCCAUGGAGGAUCCGCGGGGGAGGAGGAGAGCGGAGGCUGUGGGCUGUUAUCGUGCUGCCUGCGCGGGGGCCAUGGAGGAUCCGCGGGGGAGAAGGAGUACCGCCCAAGAGAAGCUACUGGGGGUCAGCUCCAAGAGCCUGUCUCUGUCCAGGAAAGGAGCCCGGCCCCCGACCUCACCAGAGAUCCCAGUCAUGACAAGGCCCAGGGCCAGGAGGGAGAUGGAGAGCAGCCAAGACAGCACCAGGAGGAAAGGUCUGACACCUGAGGUUAUUAUUAUUCAUAUUGUAUAUGUAUUAGUACAUACAGGGUGAAUCAGUCAGGAACUGGUCACAGAAUUGCAAAUUUACAUGGAUACACAAAGCACCAUAACCACUACAGUGCACUGUAGACAUUAUGGUGGCAGGUGCACCAUGGUGCAAUUGUAAGCUGCCAAACUUACUCGGUCACCUAUCUGACUCAGGGCUUGUUUGCAAUGCUGUCACUAAUUUUUACUAUUAGCUGCUACUCACUAAGUGCCUACCACUACUGGAAACAAAUCGAUAAAACUAGGUCCUAAUUUCAUAGGCAUAAAUCUAAAAUAAGAAGAAAUAAUAACAUAAAAAAGAGCUGCUGUCACUUAAAAAACAGCAGCCAUAAAUGGUAUUCUUAACAAGUUGUCAGGAAGUGCUCCAAAAGUCAUAGUAGAUAUAGGACAAUUAUACAAAAAAAUAUUAAUUCUAAAUGUAAUAUUAAAACAUUAACACAGAAGUUUUGCUGAUAUGUUACAGACCAUAGCUGCAUUGUAAAAGGUAUACAAUACACCUACUAUUGCAAGUAAACACACCAAUUACUGAAAAACUUGAACCAUUGGCAUAGAAAAUAACUUCCUUAGGUUCACAUUUUAGAUGCUGACAGGUAAUGAAUCUUUUAUGGCCACAAUAAAAGUUGCCCCUGCACGUAUACAUAACUAAACCACUAUCCGCUGCCCCUGUAUUCUUCAAUAUAUAAGGGGCCAAUAUGGUCUUUAAAUGUCUAGCUUUAGUAACUGUUAUAAGUAGUUUGCAGGGUAAUGUGAUCUUUAGACAAAAAAGAAAAAACAAAAAGGGUACCAUAUGAAAAUAAAUAAAUAAGAAAUAUAUGUAACCAAACAACAAAUAGGUGAAUAAUAAAAAUAUUAUACAACCUGAAAAAAACAAUAUAACGUAAUAUUCUGUAAAAUAAGUAAAAAAAUAUAUAUGGUGUAGUAUGUUAAAUAUAAAAAUCUGUGUGAGGGUGGUACAGAACUCACUAGAUGGAUGUAUAUUCGAGCAUUUCUUCCAUAAAUAGGGUCAGGAAAGUAGAUGGAUUAUCUUCAGGCAAGAUCUUGAUGAUUCUUUCUUUCACAGGCACAUAUACUAACCAAAUAUAUGACAUUAAGAAAUUCAUUCAAUGCUCCACAGCCCAUGUGAUAUAUUUAUUACAAUGUGGCUGUGGAGCACAAUAUAUUGGCCGUACAAAACGAAAAUUACACAUUAGACUCUCUGAACACUUUUAUAAUAUUAGAACACACAGAUUGGAUCAUAGUGUAGCUAAACACUGAGUUAGUUGUCCACUUUUUAAGUGGGAGACCUUUUUAUAUUUAACAUACUACCAUAUAUAUUUUUUACUUAUUUUACAGAAUACGUUAUAUUGUUUUCUCAGGUUGUAUAAUAUUUUUAUUAUUCACCUAUUUGGUGUUUGGUUACAUAUAUUUCUUAUUUUUUUAUUUUCAUAUAGUACCCUUUUUGUUUUUUUCUUUUUUGUCUUUACUUAACUUCAAGUCUCUAAAUAGGUAACACUUUUCCUUAAAGGGUCCAUUUGUUUUUUGGGAGCAUAUAGUGAAUCAUUCUUGUGUAAUGCGAUCUUUAACCAUGGGUCUUCUUUCAAAAAGCAUCAAUAUAUCCUAAAAGCCUUCACAAUAGUGUCAAACAUUAAAUGAAACUUAAAGGGACACUACAGUCACCUGAACAACUUUAGCUUAAUGAAGCAGUUUUGGUGUAUAGAACAUGCCCCAGCAGCCUCACUGCUCAAUCCUCUGCCAUUUAGGAGUUAAAUCCCUUUGUUUAUGAACCCUAGUCACACCUCCCUGCAUGUGACUUGCACAGCCUUCCAUAAACACUUCCUGUAAAGAGAGCCCUAUUUAGGCUUUCUUUAUUGCAAGUUCUGUUUAAUUACGAUUUUCUUAUCCCCUGCUAUGUUAAUAGCUUGCUAGACCCUGCAAGAACCUCCUGUAUGUGAUUAAAGUUCAAUUUAGAGAUUGAGAUACAAUUAUUUAAGGUAAAUUACAUCUGUUUGAAAGUGAAACCAGUUUUUUUUUUUCAUGCAGGCUCUGUCAGUCAGAGCCAGGGGAGGUGUGGCUAGGGCUGCAUAAACAGAAUCAAAGUGAUUUAACUCCUAAAUGACAGUGAAUUGAGCAGUGACAUUGCAGGGGAAUGAUCUAUACACUAAAACUGGUUUAUUUAGCUAAAGUAAUUUAGGUGACUAUAGUGUUCCUUUAACAAAAAAUGGUUGUCCCUUGGUUUCUAUUCUCGCUGAUUUGGAAAUAUCCUGUCUAAUCUUAUCAGAAAAGGUAUUGCCAGUCCGAUAGCUAGACCUCUCAGCUAUACCUAUAGGAAAGUAUUAACCAGAACAAAGAAGAUUCGGGAUAUGGCUGUGUAAAUCUACAGAGAAAACAUAAAACAAAACAUAGUGUGAUAUUGUUAUAAAACACAAUAUUUCAUGCGCAGUAAUCUUGUGCACUCACAGGAUGUAGACAAUAAAAGCGCUCUUAGGGUGCCUUCCCCAAUGAAUUGGGGGGCUAGCAGGUAUUCCUUAUCACCUCUGGAUCCUUGUUCCACCAAAAGACAUCCACAGGUCAGGGUUCAGUAAUAAAAAUUUAUUUAGAUAAAAAGUGUAGUCACCAUUUCAGCAUAGGAUAUAAAUAACAAAAAAGUUGUCCUACGCGUUUCGUUCUAUAAGAACUUCCUCAGGGACCACAAUUAAAAGCAGUAACAAUGUAUCAAUAUACAAUACAUAAAUGAACAUAUCAUAUUAUAUCAUAUCAGAUUAUCUCAGCCAUGAAGGCAGGACAAGCCGAGGCAAAACCGGCACGGCGUGGGAAAGAAGGUGAGUAAAAACGCCUCUCUCAUGAUCGGAGGGGUGCAGGUACCUAAACAGACACAGAAAAACACACUCUCUGACACAGACAAACACUCUGACACACUGACAGAGUGACAGACACACUGACACACACACACACACACUGACACACACGCUGCUCGCUCAUCCUGCAUGCGAAGGAGCAGUAAUGUCCCUGCAGCUCCUUUCUGCUCCCUGUAGUGAUGCCGGGGCUUAAAUUACGUCAUAUUCCGGCUCCCGGCAUCACUAUACAGCGCCAGGGAGCAGAGAGGAGUUGCAGGAAGACUACUGCUCCCUCACGCGCUUCCCCAGUCUGCCGCCUCCAUGCAGUCCAGGACGGCCGCCUCCAUGAUCCUUGAGCCGGCCGCCACCACGAUCCUCAGGGCAACCGGCCAGCUCCAUUGUUCCCCCAUCCUGCCACUUUUAAAGGACUUCAAAUCUGCAAAAUUUGUAGUUGCCAUAACAAUCUGGUGCCUGGGAUUUGUCGAGUCCUGCUUUAAUCUGUUCAUAAAACUUGUCACAAAAAAUAAAAUAAUUGUGAUAGAAAGUGAAUCAUAUAAACUAUAGUAGACUGACUCUUAGGCAUAAGAGGAUCAUCAGAUCCCAUUGUACAGCGCUACGGCAUUUGCUGGCGCUAUAUAAAUAAUAUAAUAAUAAUAAAAAGGAGCCCACUGCCUCCAUUACACAUUCAUGAUUAAUGUUGGUAUAUAAUGAACACAGAUCCUGGUGGACGGGCUGUUGCUCAGCUCACCUUGGAGAGGGAAGUAAUGACGAUGUAUAAAGUGGUAAAAGAGCAAAAUCUUACCUUUGUUUUUGGUGUUUUUUUACAAAAAGUAAGUGACAAGUGUCCCAUAAGGCUAUAUCACCACAAAUAGUAAAAUGAGAAAAAACAGUUGAAGUAACCCAUUUAUAGUGACAGAUCACAGCAGCUAUGUAGCUUAAAGUUUGAAAUCAAACCCUCAGUUUGCACCCACUUUCCUUAAGGGACUACUCCACACCUAAAAUCAUUACAAACUCACUAUUUAGUAGAAAUACCCCAAUGAAUACAUGCAUGUAUUUUUUAUUUAAGUAUUCAUUGGGGGGAGGGUAUAUCUUAAAAGAGCUUGCAAAAACUGCAAUUCUUGUGAACUGCAGCCUAUGUGAGCCUUCCCCUUUUUCCCCAGAAGAGACUUCCAGCUAAAGGAAGCAGGAAUCAAACUUUCCUGACUGUUUGAUUGACAGCCAGAGGUGUUUAUUUAUUUAAUAAAAAAAGUGCCGAUGUGGUCUGGGGGCCUAUAGUGCACUUUGAAUAUUGUAAAUCUAAUUUAAUUGCAUUUGAUUUAUUUGUAGGUGUUUGGAGUCCUGAAGAUAACCAAUGUGAUUCCAUUAAUUUAAAAAGAGGUGGAAACAAAGUAAAAGCUUGGAAAACGAAGGUACUAGAAAAUAUGUUAUAUUUUGGCAUAUUAAACUGGUGAAUUCUCGCUGAACAAGUACCAUAGGAGAUAUCUCUUUGCAAAAAUCCAAUAAAAUGCUACUCAUCUAUAAGUCCCUGAGAGAAUCCUAUUAACCUUUGUCCCGCAGUGGUUUACAGGAUGUGUAGUUCAGUGCUUGGCUUGUUUUUUUUUAUCGAUUUGAUGUUAUUUUAAUGGAUAAAAUAAAAUCUGCUUUUCUUUCGAAAACAAGAACAUUUCUAAGUGACCCAAAAGUUUGAAAACUAGCACAUAUAUAUAUAAUUUUUAUUUUUUAUUUUUUUUUUUAGUUGGAAAACCAAGGUGCAGUAUUAAAUGUGAUAACAAAAAUGCUAGCAGAAAAUGAGCAGCUUAGAGUGAGACUAUUACAAUGCAGCCAGAAAUGCCCUACUGGUAAGUGUUUUAGUAUUUCAUGUGUUGUUAAUUGUAGAACUGGAUAUGUUAAUACACAUUCCGAAAAUAAACUAUGCCUUCCUUGCUUGUAGGGUAAUAUCCUUUCCUAAUCUGCAGUUGAUUGUCUUCUUAUCAUAUUAAAGGGGCUCUUUAAGCACCAUAAGCACUUCAGCAUCCUCUAGUGAUUAUGGUUCCAGGAAUCCCUUGGUGGUGUCCGACAGAUAAACAUCAAACCAUUUUCAAAGCUUAUGACAUUUACCUUGGCCAAGUAUUUGUACAGUCUGGCACUUUUCCAGUAUAACUUAAGAAAGUGUCUACUUCCCCCUUAUAGUAUAUUAAAGUUAACUAUUUUUAUGUAUGCUGACAUUCUCGGCCAAUUAGUUCCAUCUAAACUUGGAUGGAAUUUACAUCACUAAUGCAUAUACAGGAAAUCAUUCUUAAGCGAUACCUGAAGAGGGGACAGACUGUGUAUGUCUAUGGGAACACAGGCUAGUGUCAAACUAUUCAAAAAAGACUAAACUUUUACCUGUACAGAGUGUAAUUUAUCCAGCAAGGAAGAGAUUAACAUUCCCUCUCCUCAAAGGCUACAAAUUCUGCAGCAGCUGUAGUUCAACAUUUGGUGCAGGAUGUGCAGUGAGCGUGUCCUGGUUGGUCAGGAAAAUUACAUGAUAUCCCCACCAGCCCAGAGAGCAGCAGGAUGCCCCCUCACAGAUGGUGCCCAAGGCCAAUGCCUAAUUGACCUUAUGUUAGCACCGGCCCUUGAAGAUUGCAACUCCACCUCUGGUAGCUGUAAACCUGUUAUGGACUGACUAAUAUUAAUGUUGUACAUAAAGUAUGUUUGACGUAUGCAAGCAUAAAAAGUUGGUGAUGGGUGUAAUCAGCUUCCUCAUUUACAGGCAGUGCUCUGAGCUUAACUGAAAUGUGAAGCUUCACAUAAACACAGUCUAAUACACUGCCAAAUGCACCUCUUCCAAGUGUCUGCUUCUUGCUUUGCUUCUCCCACCUUGCCUGCCAUUGUCUCUUCUUCACUUCCUCUGAUCAAGCGCAAUUCACAGAUAACGUCUAAGCCUAUAACUUGCAAGAGGUGGGCAGGAGUUAGUGUGGAGUUAGACCAUUUAAAAAUUUCAAGUUUUUUUUAUUUUAUGUUAGCCAUGUUUUAAAUUGAUAUUUAAGGUUCCUUUUUUUUCUUUUAGACUCUCAGCAGAAUGAAUCUUUAUUCGGAUGGAUUUAGAGAAGGACACAACAAAAGACAGCAAUGUAACUACUAAGUGUUUGCAAUAACUACUUGGAGAGUAUUUUCUG